AUGGCCGGCAAUGGAGCUAGCGCCUGGAGGCAGCUCACUCCGUUCCCGCUCUACCUGGCCAUCUUCUUCCUUCUCGGCGCCAACGGGGCGGAGGCGGCAUCGUCCUUCAGCUUCACCAACGCGUGCGCGCACCCGGUGUGGGUGGGCGCGCUCAGCGGCGCCACCUCGCCGCAGCUGCCCCGCACCGGCUUCUACCUCGCCCCGGGCGCGACCUCCGCGCUCGCCACGCUCUCCUCCGGCGCCUGGUCCGGCAACUUCUGGGCGCGCACCGGCUGCGCCGUGGACGAGGGCACCGGCCGCCUCGCGUGCGCCACGGCCGACUGCGGCACGGGCGACGUCGCCUGCGACGGCCGCGGGCCCGCCCCGCCCGUCACGCUCGCCGAGAUCACCCUCGCCGCCCCCGGCUCCGGCGGCCUCGACUUCUACGACGUCAGCCUCGUCGACGGCUUCAACCUGCCCGUCAGCAUCGCGCCCUCCCACGGAGGCUGCCAGGCGGCGGCGUGCGCGGGCGACGUGAACGCCGUGUGCCCGUCGGACCUGCGCGUCGUGUCCGGCUCAAGCGGUGAGGUGGUGGCAUGCAAGAGCGCCUGCAACGCCUACGGCAGCGCGCGCUACUGCUGCAGCGGCGACUACGGCACGCCGGCGGCCUGCGGGCCCACCAACUACUCGCAGGUGUUCAAGGCCGCCUGCCCGGCGGCCUACAGCUACGCCUACGACGACGCCAGCAGCACCUUCACCUGCUCCGGCGCCGCCACCUACCACAUCACCUUCUGUCCUGCCACUUAA
rnacentral:rRNA from 1 species